UACAGAGGUCCCAAGCGUUGUUCGGAUUCACUGGGCGUAAAGGGUGCGUAGGCGGUCGGGUAAGUCUGGCGUGAAAUCUCCAAGCCUAACUUGGAAACUGCGUUGGAUACUAUCCGGCUCGAGGAAUGGAGGGGAGACUGGAAUACUUGGUGUAGCAGUGAAAUGCGUAGAUAUUAAGUGGAACACCAGUGGCGAAGGCGAGUCUCUGGACAUUUCCUGACGCUGAGGCACGAAAGCCAGGGGAGCAAACGGG
rnacentral:rRNA from 1 species